rnacentral:rRNA from 1 species
CCUACGGGGGGCAGCAGUGGGGGAUAUUGCACAAUGGGGGAAACCCUGAUGCAGCGACGCCGCGUGGGGGAAGAAGGAUUUCGGUAUGUAAAGCCCUAUCAGCAGGGAAGAAGAAAUGACGGUACCUGAGUAAGAAGCACCGGCUAAAUACGUGCCAGCAGCCGCGGUAAUACGUAUGGUGCAAGCGUUAUCCGGAUUUAUUGGGUUAAAAGGGUGCGUAGGCGGGCUGUUAAGUCAGCGGUAAAAGCCCGGGGCUCAACCCCGGCGAGCCGUUGAAACUGGCUGUCUUGAGAUGUCGAGAGGUAUGCGGAAUGCGCAGUGUAGUGGUGAAGUGCUUAGAUAUUGCGCAGAACUCCGAUUGCGAAGGCAGCAUACCGGCGGCGAUCUGACGCUGAGGCACGAAAGCGUGGGUAUCGAACAGGAUUAGAUACCCUUGUAGUC